GACGAACGCUGGCGGCGUGCUUAACACAUGCAAGUGGAGCGACGAACCAGGGCUUGCCCUGGGGCAGAGCCGCGAACGGGUGAGUAACACGUGGGUAACGUGCCCCAAUGAUCGGGACAACCCGGGGAAACCCGGGCUAAUACCGAAUGUGCUCCCCUCACACCAGUGAGGGGUGGAAAGGAAUCUUCGGCCUCCGCAUUGGGAUCGGCCCGCGGCCCAUUAGCUUGUUGGUGAGGUAACGGCUCACCAAGGCUGCGAUGGGUAGCUGGUCUGAGAGGACGAUCAGCCACACUGGGACUGAGACACGGCCCAGACUCCUACGGGAGGCAGCAGUGGGGAAUCUUGCGCAAUGCGCGAAAGCGUGACGCAGCAACGCCGCGUGGGGGAAGAAGGCCUUCGGGUUGUAAACCCCUUUCAGGAGGGACGAAGCGUGGGCGGUUAAUAGCCGGCCCACGUGACGGUACCUCCAGAAGAAGCCCCGGCUAACUACGUGCCAGCCGCCGCCGUAACAC
rnacentral:rRNA from 1 species